rnacentral:rRNA from 1 species
GGUUAAGCGACUAAGCGUACACGGUGGAUGCCCUGGCAGUCAGAGGCGAUGAAGGGCGUGCUAAUCUGCGAUAAGCGCCGGUAAGGUGAUAUGAACCGUUAUAACCGGCGAUACCCGAAUGGGGAAACCCAGUGUGACUCGUCACACUAUCAUUAACUGAAUCCAUAGGUUAAUGAGGCGAACCGGGGGAACUGAAACAUCUAAGUACCCCGAGGAAAAGAAAUCAACCGAGAUUCCCCCAGUAGCGGCGAGCGAACGGGGAGGAGCCCAGAGCCUGAAUCAGCAUGUGUGUUAGUGGAAGCGUCUGGAAAGUCGCGCGAUACAGGGUGACAGCCCCGUACACAAAAGCGCAUGUGCUGUGAGCUCGAUGAGUAGGGCGGGACACGUGGUAUCCUGUCUGAAUAUGGGGGGACCAUCCUCCAAGGCUAAAUACUCCUGACUGACCGAUAGUGAACCAGUACCGUGAGGGAAAGGCGAAAAGAACCCCGGCGAGGGGAGUGAAAAAGAACCUGAAACCGUGUACGUACAAGCAGUGGGAGCCCCACCACUAAGCCAGUGGUGAACUCCACAUACGCAUCCUUUGCUGAGGAUACGGUUAACGGAGCGAAAGCGACGUUCAACCUCAAAAGAAGCAGAGGGGGCUUAGUGGUGGGGUGACUGCGUACCUUUUGUAUAAUGGGUCAGCGACUUAUAUUCUGUAGCAAGGUUAACCGCAUAGGGGAGCCGGAGGGAAACCGAGUCUUAAUUGGGCGUUAAGUUGCAGGGUAUAGACCCGAAACCCGGUGAUCUAGCCAUGGGCAGGUUGAAGGUUGGGUAACACUAACUGGAGGACCGAACCGACUAAUGUUGAAAAAUUAGCGGAUGACUUGUGGCUGGGGGUGAAAGGCCAAUCAAACCGGGAGAUAGCUGGUUCUCCCCGAAAGCUAUUUAGGUAGCGCCUCGUGAACUCAUCUUCGGGGGUAGAGCACUGUUUCGGCUAGGGGGCCAUCCCGGCUUACCAACCCGAUGCAAACUGCGAAUACCGGAGAAUGUUAUCACGGGAGACACACGGCGGGUGCUAACGUCCGUCGUGAAGAGGGAAACAACCCAGACCGCCAGCUAAGGUCCCAAAGUCAUGGUUAAGUGGGAAACGAUGUGGGAAGGCCCAGACAGCCAGGAUGUUGGCUUAGAAGCAGCCAUCAUUUAAAGAAAGCGUAAUAGCUCACUGGUCGAGUCGGCCUGCGCGGAAGAUGUAACGGGGCUAAACCAUGCACCGAAGCUGCGGCAGCGACACUAUGUGUUGUUGGGUAGGGGAGCGUUCUGUAAGCCUGCGAAGGUGGCCUGUGAGGGUUGCUGGAGGUAUCAGAAGUGCGAAUGCUGACAUAAGUAACGAUAAAGCGGGUGAAAAGCCCGCUCGCCGGAAGACCAAGGGUUCCUGUCCAACGUUAAUCGGGGCAGGGUGAGUCGACCCCUAAGGCGAGGCCGAAAGGCGUAGUCGAUGGGAAACGGGUUAAUAUUCCCGUACUUGGUGUUACUGCGAAGGGGGGACGGAGAAGGCUAUGUUGGCCGGGCGACGGUUGUCCCGGUUUAAGCGUGUAGGUGUGUGUUCCAGGUAAAUCCGGUUCACUUUAACACUGAGGCGUGACGACGAGGCACUACGGUGCUGAAGCAACAAAUGCCCUGCUUCCAGGAAAAGCCUCUAAGCAUCAGGUAACAUCAAAUCGUACCCCAAACCGACACAGGUGGUCAGGUAGAGAAUACCAAGGCGCUUGAGAGAACUCGGGUGAAGGAACUAGGCAAAAUGGUGCCGUAACUUCGGGAGAAGGCACGCUGACACGUAGGUGAAGUGAUUUACUCAUGGAGCUGAAGUCAGUCGAAGAUACCAGCUGGCUGCAACUGUUUAUUAAAAACACAGCACUGUGCAAACACGAAAGUGGACGUAUACGGUGUGACGCCUGCCCGGUGCCGGAAGGUUAAUUGAUGGGGUCAGCGCAAGCGAAGCUCCUGAUCGAAGCCCCGGUAAACGGCGGCCGUAACUAUAACGGUCCUAAGGUAGCGAAAUUCCUUGUCGGGUAAGUUCCGACCUGCACGAAUGGCGUAAUGAUGGCCAGGCUGUCUCCACCCGAGACUCAGUGAAAUUGAACUCGCUGUGAAGAUGCAGUGUACCCGCGGCAAGACGGAAAGACCCCGUGAACCUUUACUAUAGCUUGACACUGAACAUUGAGCCUUGAUGUGUAGGAUAGGUGGGAGGCUUUGAAGUGUGGACGCCAGUCUGCAUGGAGCCGACCUUGAAAUACCACCCUUUAAUGUUUGAUGUUCUAACGUGGACCCGUAAUCCGGGUUGCGGACAGUGUCUGGUGGGUAGUUUGACUGGGGCGGUCUCCUCCUAAAGAGUAACGGAGGAGCACGAAGGUUGGCUAAUCCUGGUCGGACAUCAGGAGGUUAGUGCAAUGGCAUAAGCCAGCUUGACUGCGAGCGUGACGGCGCGAGCAGGUGCGAAAGCAGGUCAUAGUGAUCCGGUGGUUCUGAAUGGAAGGGCCAUCGCUCAACGGAUAAAAGGUACUCCGGGGAUAACAGGCUGAUACCGCCCAAGAGUUCAUAUCGACGGCGGUGUUUGGCACCUCGAUGUCGGCUCAUCACAUCCUGGGGCUGAAGUAGGUCCCAAGGGUAUGGCUGUUCGCCAUUUAAAGUGGUACGCGAGCUGGGUUUAGAACGUCGUGAGACAGUUCGGUCCCUAUCUGCCGUGGGCGCUGGAGAACUGAGGGGGGCUGCUCCUAGUACGAGAGGACCGGAGUGGACGCAUCACUGGUGUUCGGGUUGUCAUGCCAAUGGCACUGCCCGGUAGCUAAAUGCGGAAGAGAUAAGUGCUGAAAGCAUCUAAGCACGAAACUUGCCCCGAGAUGAGUUCUCCCUGAGACUUAGAGUCUCCUGAAGGAACGUUGAAGACGACGACGUUGAUAGGCCGGGUGUGUAAGCGCAGCGAUGCGUUGAGCUAACCGGUACUAAUGAACCGUGAGGCUUAACCUU